rnacentral:rRNA from 1 species
UGAACGCUGGCGGCGUGCCUAAUACAUGCACGUCGAGCGAACAGACGAGGAGCUUGCUCCUCUGACGUUAGCGGCGGACGGGUGAGUAACACGUGGAUAACCUACCUAUAAGACUGGGAUAACUUUGGGAAACCGGAGCUAAUACCGGAUAAUAUAUUGAACCGCAUGGUUCAAUAGUGAAAGACGGUUUUGCUGUCACUUAUAGAUGGAUCCGCGCCGCAUUAGCUAGUUGGUAAGGUAACGGCUUACCAAGGCAACGAUGCGUAGCCGACCUGAGAGGGUGAUCGGCCACACUAGAACUGAGACACGGUCCAGACUCCUACGGGAGGCAGCAGUAGGGAAUCUUCCGCAAUGGGCGAAAGCCUGACGGAGCAACGCCGCGUGAGUGAUGAAGGUCUUCGGAUCGUAAAACUCUGUUAUUAGGGAAGAACAAAUGUGUAAGUAACUAUGCACGUCUUGACGGUACCUAAUCAGAAAGCCACGGCUAACUACGUG